GGGCAUUCAGAAGGCUUGCACUCUGGGCUACAAUCUGAGAACCUGGUUUCUCUCCUUCCCGCCCAGGGGAAAGUCCCCGGACACGUGGCAGAAAGUGUCACUGGUUAAAGCCAGCGUCGGCCUUGCGCUCUACCUUACAUGAGCUGAGAUGUUCUGCUGAACUGAGCUCGGUGAUUGCAAGUCGACCUUGUCAGCGUUGAUAGUAAUGCAAGAAAGCAGCUAAGGACGCCUUAACAGAACGGGGCUCAUUCUCCGAAUGCU
rnacentral:RNase_MRP_RNA from 1 species